GAGAACUCGGGUGAAGGAACUAGGCAAAAUGGUACCGUAACUUCGGGAGAAGGUACGCUCUCGACGGUGAAGUCCCUCGCGGAUGGAGCUAUUGAGAGUCGCAGAUACCAGGUGGCUGCAACUGUUUAUUAAAAACACAGCACUGUGCAAAAUCGUAAGAUGACGUAUACGGUGUGACGCCUGCCCGGUGCCGGAAGGUUAAUUGAUGGGGUUAGACUUCGGUCGAAGCUCUUGAUCGAAGCCCCGGUAAACGGCGGCCGUAACUAUAACGGUCCUAAGGUAGCGAAAUUCCUUGUCGGGUAAGUUCCGACCUGCACGAAUGGCGUAAUGAUGGCCACGCUGUCUCCACCCGAGACUCAGUGAAAUUGAAAUCGCUGUGAAGAUGCAGUGUACCCGCGGCUAGACGGAAAGACCCCGUGAACCUUUACUACAGCUUGGCACUGAACAUUGACCCUACAUGUGUAGGAUAGGUGGGAGGCUUUGAAGCACGUACGCCAGUAUGUGUGGAGCCGUCCUUGAAAUACCACCCUUGUAGUGUUGAUGUUCUAACGUCGACCCCUUAUCGGGGUUGCGGACAGUGCCUGGUGGGUAGUUUGACUGGGGCGGUCUCCUCCCAAAGAGUAACGGAGGAGCACGAAGGUGGGCUAAUCACGGUUGGACAUCGUGAGGUUAGUGCAAUGGCAUAAGCCCGCUUGACUGCGAGAAUGACAAUUCGAGCAGGUGCGAAAGCAGGUCAUAGUGAUCCGGUGGUUCUGAAUGGAAGGGCCAUCGCUCAACGGAUAAAAGGUACUCCGGGGAUAACAGGCUGAUACCGCCCAAGAGUUCAUAUCGACGGCGGUGUUUGGCACCUCGAUGUCGGCUCAUCACAUCCUGGGGCUGAAGUCGGUCCCAAGGGUAUGGCUGUUCGCCAUUUAAAGUGGUACGCGAGCUGGGUUUAGAACGUCGUGAGACAGUUCGGUCCCUAUCUGCCGUGGGCGUUGGAAGAUUGAAGGGGGCUGCUCCUAGUACGAGAGGACCGGAGUGGACGAACCUCUGGUGUUCGGGUUGUGUCGCCAGACGCAUUGCCCGGUAGCUAAGUUCGGAAUCGAUAACCGCUGAAAGCAUCUAAGCGGGAAGCGAGCCCUGAGAUGAGUCUUCCCUGAUACUUUAAGUAUCCUAAAGGGUUGUCGGAGACUACGACGUUGAUAGGUCAGGUGUGUAAGUGCUGUGAGGCAUUGAGCUAACUGAUACUAAUUGCCCGUGAGGCUUAACCAUACAACACCCAAGGGGUUU
rnacentral:rRNA from 1 species